rnacentral:rRNA from 1 species
GACGAACGCUGGCGGCGCGCCUAACACAUGCAAGUCGAACGGGGAUAUAUUGGGUGCUUGCACCUGAUAUAUUCUAGUGGCGGACGGGUGAGUAACACGUGAGCAACCUGCCCUUAAGUGGGGGAUAACGUCUGGAAACGGACGCUAAUACCGCAUAAUAUUCCGGUAUGGCAUCAUAUUGGAAUCAAAGGAUUUAUUCGCUUAGGGAUGGGCUCGCGUCCGAUUAGUUUGUUGGUGAGGUAAUGGCUCACCAAGACUACGAUCGGUAGCCGGACUGAGAGGUUGAUCGGCCACAUUGGGACUGAGACACGGCCCAGACUCCUACGGGAGGCAGCAGUGGGGAAUAUUGCACAAUGGGGGAAACCCUGAUGCAGCGACGCCGCGUGAGUGAAGACGGCCUUCGGGUUGUAAAGCUCUGUUGUGCGGGACGAUAAUGACGGUACCGCAUAAGAAAGCCACGGCUAACUACGUGCCAGCAGCCGCGGUAAUACGUAGGUGGCGAGCGUUGUCCGGAAUUACUGGGUGUAAAGGGAGCGUAGGCGGGGAUUUAAGUUGGAUGUGAAAUACCGUGGCUCAACCACGGGGCUGCAUCCAAAACUGGAUCUCUUGAGUGGAGUAGAGGCAGGCGGAAUUCCUAGUGUAGCGGUGAAAUGCGUAGAUAUUAGGAGGAACACCAGUGGCGAAGGCGGCCUGCUGGGCUUUUACUGACGCUGAGGCUCGAAAGCGUGG